CUUCCUCCUUCUCCUCCCCCUCAUCGGGCGGGCGACAGGAGCCCCUCCCCCACCCCGACAGUCCGAGAGGGGGUGGGAGACUCGCAAAGCGGGGGGCAGCGAACCACCCCCAGCCUCCCGGAAUUACCAUCUGGUUCUCAGUUCCCUUGCCUAGGUGCUCGGCCCUGCCCCAGGUGCUCUUCACUGUACUUACAGCUCCAGUCGAGGUUUUCAAGACCAGUAGGCAAAGACAGAGGAAGACAAGGCUGUUUGGAAGAAAAGAAGAAGAGUGACUUAAGAAACCCCAAAAAUGUUGAAAAAGGAUUGGUUUGGGUUUUCUGAAACUCCACAGUUUUAUUUUUCAACAAACAUUACCUGCUUUUUGGCAGUAACUUCUAUUUAUGUCCAAGGUAUCUGGAAAAAGAGGUUUUGGGCCAAACUGCAGUGCAAUUCAGACAUAUCAUGAUUCAGAUCAGUCUUCAGUUGCUGCAAUCAGUGUGUCCUGUGGACAACUGUCAGCUUACUGAAAGCAUUUCAGAGCUUAGGAAUAAGAAGAUCCGGACAAGCUGUAGCUGAAAAACUACGGAAGGGGAUCUGUUUAGUUUUAAACUGGUACAGAUGUGAUGUCACUGUGAGACACCAAGAGGCAGAAAUUCCGUGAGAAAAUUCAUAUUAGCUGCAUCUGACUCUGCAUCGUCACUGCUGCCAGUGUUCCCUAGGAUGUUCAGCUACUAUUAUGCAGACUGCUUGCUUCCCCUCAUCUACUGUUGUAGUUGCUAGCAAUCUUUUAACAAUUGCAUUUUAAAUCAAAGUCAAGGGACACUUGCCCCUUGGCAUCCUGCUUGAACUCCUAUUAAUUUACUCAUUAGAUCCUUGUAAGUUCAACAGACAGACUUUGGGGAGUACUUCCAGUGUCUUGGCAUGCAGUCAGCCUCUUUAGCAGAUUUUGUUUUCUUUCAAAGUCAGGAAUAUUAGGAGCUCAGCAGAUCCUGGCAGCUUUCAAGGGAAGGAGUGUCCAGGAUUUUCAGAUUUCUUGUGCCCAGUAGUCUAAAAAGGAAAGAAUCUCAGGUGCUCCCCUCCCUCUCCUGCCAUUCCACUGCAUGGGCUGAAAGGGAAGGAACAAACAAAUCCCAGCUUCUAUGGCAAACCCAGAGGCUUUUGAAAUUAGAAGACCCCAUUUUCUUAAUCUUCCCCAGUCCUAAUUUGUUGAAAUCAGCAAGCCAACAUUUUUCAGAUUGCUGUUCUUUGGAGAGCUUAGCAAUUAUCUUUCAAUGCAGUCUGGAACGAAAAACAGAAAUGUCGAUUUUCAAAGUCAUCUCUGAUGGGAAUUGUGUUUCUCUUCCUGCCUCUGGUUUGGGAAGCAUCAGAAUUGUGUAUUUGGAAAGAUAGGCAGGCAAAUACAAGUCUGAAGAAGAGAUAAUUAUUAACUGUCUGCAGAUGUUGCAGUGGCAAGUUUGAAGAGGAAAAGCUUCUUCUUAAUUUAAAAUUGGAUUUAAAAAAUAUGCAUCUCCAAAAACAUUUUCCACAGAAAUAGAAGCUAUUUAAAGGAAAAAAAAAAAUUAAAACUACAGUGAGAAAAAUCCCAUGAGGAGAUUUGCAAAACUACUGAGAUUUGCAAAACCUCUGGUACAGCCAGUUUUUUUUUACUUCAGCAUUUUUUUAGGGCUCAGUUUUAUUGAGAAUAUUGGAGAUUCAGUGUUUGGCUGUUGAGCUGAUUAGACUGAGCAAAACCAGCUUUUCCUAAACAACAGGAGGACAAAAAAUAUAGAACAACAACCAACCCAUACCUUUGACUGGGAAAGAAUUUCUUAAAUCCAACACUAUAAUCUGAAAUUCAACAGGAGUGCAAUCAGAUGAAUUACUCUACUAGCAUCUUUAAGAUAAAGUGUAUCUACAGUCCUCAGAGGCAACAAUAAGACAGCUAAGCUGAUUUAAAUACUGAGCAAACAAACAAAAUGCAGGUUUGACCAUCCUGGUAUUGGUCUAAAACAAUUCUACUCCCAUGCAUGUGUUUAAAUUCUAUAUUAUGAACUUUAAGAAACCUUUUCUUUUCUUGCAAAGCAAAAAAAUGAAGGAUGAAAGAUGUCCCACUUUGGAGUAAGCAAACACUCAUUUGAUCAGUGUGUUUGAUAGUUAUCCCUGCAGAAAAGGAACAGACAUUGCAAUUACCAAUGUAAAGAGAAAUAAACCAUCAUUGGACUUUUCUUCCCCACCCCAGUUUAUAAAGCAAUUCUUAUUGCUCUUACUUUCAGCUAAAAAAGCUGUCUUUUUGACAAAAUUGGUACAGGUUUCUAUGCAGGUUUCACCUAUGCAGGAUGGUGAGGCUCGCACUUACUUGGGUUGAGGAGUGUGCUUUAUCAGUUGUGGGGAUAAAAUGAUACAACAGUGUUAAAAUGAGAAAACAAACCCCGAACUUAUUCAUACAUACAAUACAUUUUUUCUACUAUUUAUUUAUAUGCCAGGAAGCUCAGCUGCAUCUAAUGGUUUGUGUUGCUGCAUGUUUUGUUACAAAACACAGUAUGGUCAAAUGUCAAUAACAACCUGCCAAAAAUUUAUUAUGUUAACAGCAAAAGACCCAAACCUAAUUAUCAGAAGUAAUAGCAGUUUUAGACUAAUGAAGUAUGUUUGGUAAGUUUGUCUGUUUGUCCUGUUCUUCUGUUGCUUACAAGAAAAUCUUGAGUCUGUAAAUUUGCUAACUUGUAAUUACUUGCAGUAAUUACUCAUGAUUAAUUGCAGCAAUUUUGUAGGAAAACUUACAGGUGAAUUUGCAUCAUCUUGAUUGAAAAUUAAUUUUAGUUGGCUUAUAUGAAUGUAAUCACUAAAAAAAAUACUAACAACAAACCCCCAAAACACCAGCAGAAGCAGGCUCAGUAUUUAGUUAGAGUUUUGCUCAAAAGUGGACCUUGACUGCUUAGAAUACUGUAACAUUUGCAAAGUUCAGUUGGGAUAGUAUGAGGAAUGUUUUGUGGUAUGCAGGUAGGCAUGGGUACAGCUGGAGUAGAGAGUUGCCAAGUCCUAAUAGGGAGUCCACCAGUGAAACUUGGAAAUGGCAAAGGGCGUGACUCAGAUUUUCAAGAGAUGCCAAACAUUUGUUGAAAAGCAUUGCUAGGGUGAUCUAUCAAGUGUUUAUCACACUCCCUAAAGUCCUGAGAAGGAAAUCACUAAAAUACACUGUUAAUGUAAUUAGCUGCAAAACCAGUCCAAGUUUUCUGUGUUUGAGUAACUCAAUGAGUGUGAAGUUGAACUAAUGAUCCCUACAAAUGAAAACACCUUCAGAAAACAAGUGCAGUCCAGUCUGUUCCACUUGAUCCAGCUGGCUGCUAAUACCAACAGUAAGAGCCCAUAAACACCAUCUCCAAAACACCAGCAGCUUUUUCAGUGCUUCUUGUCAGGUGUCCCCACACACACCUCAAGAAAGAAGAAACUGCAAGGAACUGAAAAGAAAAAAUUAAAAAAGAAAGGCAGAUAGUUUGUUUCUCUCUUGUAGCCUUGGUGCACUGGUUGGCCAACACAGCGUCACAACCGAAGUAUUUCUGUUUGACUCGGAUCUCCCAGGAAUGUCCACAGCAGGUGGCUGACCAACUCUAGAGAAUAACCAAGGUUUAAAGGAACUAAUGGAAGCAAAACUUAAGAGUCCUGGGUAUUAACAUUCACCCAUGGAGCAGAAGUUCUGAAGAUUUCUAUCCAGGAAGUGGCCACCUUUAAGAAAGAGUUAUCUAGAAAAGCUUUAAGCUCUUCUUGAUCUGUCUCAUCUAUUGGAUAAUGCUUUAACUCUCUGUAAUAAAACCACAAGACACAAUCAUGGGACAACGUCAAACACACACUCACUCAUUCCUCCCUCUCCCCUCUUCAUUAAUGCCAUUUUGGGUUUUAAAUCAGACCUCUUGGUUAAGGUACAGCUGGAAUGAUGCAAAUUUCUUAGCAGUUGAAGAGAAAAUGAAUAGAGAAGUCUAGUAAAGCUAUUCUAGCUACUCCACAAAUGAAAAACUACUCUCACUAUACACCAAUUUGUUUAAAUUGGUGAUUUCUCUAUUAACUCAUACAUGAGCUGCAAUCUGCCUCUUAUUUUGGGCAACUAUUUUCUGUGUGGAUGCCUUUUCAGUAGUCCUGUUUUCUUGCAUAUUUUCUUGCCAUGCUCCCUCCUUUCUGUUAGGCACAAAAGCAUGCCUGUUCCCAUACUUUAGUUUUUCUCCUCAAGUAUCUUAUCCUCUUUUCUUUCCUCCCUAUGAAAAAAAUAAUAUGUGCACAAAAGGCUUCUCUCCUUCUUCAGUCUUCUUUUUACCACUCACAUCCCUGAUUUCUGUCCAACUCUUUGGUCACUUGGAAAGAGACUUCCCUGAUCCCAAAAAGCCCAUGGAUACAAAAGAUAAAAAUACCCUAAAGAGUUCCAAAAAUGCUUCUGUUGUAUGGUACAGAAUCUGUGAGCCUGAUCUAAAACACUGAAAGCCUCCUGAAAGCCACUGAAACACUCUGAUUUGGACUGAAAGUUAGGUUUUACAAAGGGGAACAAAAUAAGAAGCCUUCUAUAGACCAGCUCUUCUCUGAGUGAGCAAGCAGAAAGCUUGGGUUGCUGCACCCCUGUGUAAACAGCUCUUGCUGGAAAGAGGAUCGGGGGUGGGGGUGGAAAAGGAAAAAAAACUUAGUUUGAGGUAGCUACCUGUUCCCAAAGCCAACAACUGAGAAGAGCUGUCUUUGCACAAUUGUCUGAAUCCAUUGUUGAUUUUGCUGGCAUUCGUUCCAUUUUAAUCAAUGUAAUUUUCCUCAAGGUCCAAAUGGGAAAAGAUUACUUCUUUAUGCAUUUAUUUACCUUCAGAAUCUCAGCAAUCAAUGAUCCUCACACUCCAUAAAAGAGGACAGCUGGCCAAGCUUUGUGUCUACCCACUCAAACUCUUUACUCUGACUUGGUUGUACUGAUUUAGUUAAAGUAGACUGACAAUCUGAAAUUAAUUAACCACAGAUAAUAGACUGAUGACUUCAGCUGUUGAUGACUUAGGAAGAAUAUGCACAAACAGUAUAUGCAUUGAUUAAAAUAAAUAGAUUGAGUCAAUCUAAUGCAACUGUCUUGAUCAUCUUCCUCUUGGUUUCUCAAUCCUGCAUUAUUUCAAAAGGGCCAUGACAUCAGCUUUUUCCUGGAAAAAUGCAGAUAAAACAAUUGCCUCAGAAGACUUUUCUAAUUAGAGUCCAUGUGGUGACCACCAGAAAAAAGAUCACAAGGUGGAAUGAAAAGAGAUAGGCAUAAAAGCUGUUAUACUUAAAGCCUAGUGCUGCUUGGUAAAGCAGUGUUUUUGUGUCAUUUCAUUGAUUGGGAAUAUGCACUUGCUGCACUGUCAGCCAGACUGCUGGUGAAAAUAUUUAAUGGUGUUCCCUUCUGAUCUAGGCACUUUCCAGUCUGUCUGCAUCAAUUAAAACUGAAUAAUGCCAGAGCUAGAAGAACAACUAUUUGAGUUUAACAUGUCUGGGUUAAAGUAGUUUUCUACUUGGGACCUCAUGAUAUUAUAAUAAACACACAUGCAACAGAAAUAAAUAUAUAUGGUUCUA